rnacentral:rRNA from 1 species
CGGGGAGGUAGUGACGAAAAAUAACGAUACGGGACUCAUCCGAGGCCCCGUAAUCGGAAUGAGUACACUUUAAAUCCUUUAACGAGGACCAAUUGGAGGGCAAGUCUGGUGCCAGCAGCCGCGGUAAUUCCAGCUCCAAUAGCGUAUAUUAAAGUUGUUGCGGUUAAAAAGCUCGUAGUUGAAUCUGUGUGUCACAGUGUCGGUUCACCGCUCGCGGUGUUUAACUGGCAUUAUGUGGUACGUCCUACCGGUGGGCUCAGCACCUUCGCGGGUGCGGUCCAAUCGAAUUUACCCAUCGCGGUGCUCUUCAUUGAGUGUCGAGGUGGGCCGGUACGUUUACUUUGAACAAAUUAGAGUGCUCAAAGCAGGCUACUCUCGCCUGAAUACUCUGUGCAUGGAAUAAUGGAAUAGGACCUCGGUUCUAUUUUGUUGGUUUUCGGAACCCCGAGGUAAUGAUUAAUAGGGACAGAUGGGGGCAUUCGUAUUGCGACGUUAGAGGUGAAAUUCUUGGAUCGUCGCAAGACGGACUAAAGCGAAAGCAUUUGCCAAAAAUGUUUUCAUUAAUCAAGAACGAAAGUUAGAGGUUCGAAGGCGAUCAGAUACCGCCCUAGUUCUAACCAUAAACGAUGCCAGCUAGCGAUCCGCCGAAGUUCCUCCGAUGACUCGGCGGGCAGCUUCCGGGAAACCAAAGCUUUUGGGUUCCGGGGGAAGUAUGGUUGCAAAGCUGAAACUUAAAGGAAUUGACGGAAGGGCACCACCAGGAGUGGAGCCUGCGGCUUAAUUUGACUC